UACGGAGGAUCCGAGCGUUAUCCGGAUUUAUUGGGUUUAAAGGGUGCGCAGGCGGGAGAUUAAGUCGGUGGUGAAAUUUUGCAGCUCAACUGUAAAAGUGCCUUCGAAACUGGUUUCCUUGAGUGUAGAUGAAGUAGGCGGAAUUUGUGGUGUAGCGGUGAAAUGCAUAGAUAUCACGAGGAACUCCGAUUGCGCAGGCAGCUUACUAAACUACUACUGACGCUCAUGCACGAAGGCGUGGGGAUCAAACAGGAUUAGAUACCCU
rnacentral:rRNA from 1 species